CCAUAAUAUAGAACUGCCCAGAUUUGAUCUUGCGGUGUUCACAGAUAUUUCCUUACUUAUUAUUAGCAGAUUAACAUCCUUUCCUGGCAGGUAAUAAUUGCUAAUGCAAAGAUGAUUGCCAAGAUUAUGUAUUUGUCAUCACUGCUGACUAUCCUGGGUCUGCUUUGUCCCGUGUCAGGAGACUAUUAUAGUGUUUUAACCGCUGUGAGUUACACUUGCCAGAAUCAGGUCUCAGUUUGUAUAGCCAAUAGCGCAGAUGUACAAACAUUAGUCUACAACCAAAAAUAUUGUGAGGCCUUGGAAUAUUCUUCCCUUUCAUUUGACUCCAAGACAUGUCUAGUCAAAAACGGCGGUUGUCUAGAUUCUGAGUACACAUAUAUGGAUAAGAAAGCCUGUAGUACUCAAGGUGCAAUAGGAGUGGUCACCGUUACAUUGCAGUGUCAGAAAAUGGCAGAAAAGUGUUUGGCUAAUUCACCCGAAGCUCUUAAGCUUUUCCUUAAGAAACAAUAUUGUGCUGCUCUCCUGUAUAAUACUUCACCGUAUGAUUCCAAGGCUUGUUUAUUAGAAAAUGGUGGAUGCACUGAGAGCGAAUACAUCAAUGUCAAGGAUUCUGUCUGUAGUGCAACGUCAGUGAUGGCAGGAAUGACAACUCUAUUUUUUUGUAUUCUAGUUUACAUGCUAAACUAAAUCCUGAUAUAGCAAAUUGAGAGAUGCCUCCCAAUCAGCUACUAUAUUUAAAUAAUGCUUCUAAGCCAUAUUUUAAUAUCCUGUUAAUAAAACUUUUAAUAAAUAAAAUGCGUCUCUAAAAUUACAAUUGAAAAGAACUUAGUUUUAUAAUUAUAAAGUAAUUAUAGAGCAAUAAAAAAUUGAUUUUUUUAUCAGGUAUAUCUAUACAAUUGUUCAAAAAAUACGAAUUCCUAUUUAACUUUGAGCUCCCCCCUUUUCACCUUUCCUUUUUGGCACAAUGUUUAUUCUGUAAAUUGUUUUGCCGAAGAGAAACAUAAACACGUUCUUUUAGCCAGUUGUAAAAAAACAACAACAACAAAAAAAUACGCUGUCUAUUUGUAGAUUCCUAUAUGUUAAUUGUUCUUUUUUUUUCUGUGGCCUGUCUGUUAAUCUGUCACGUUUAGAACUAAAAAUUAAAAAGUGCUUUUAAAGAUCCAAAUUA
rnacentral:sRNA from 1 species